rnacentral:rRNA from 1 species
AUGAAGCUCAGAGUAAAAGGCUUCGGCCUCCUGCUUCUCCUUGUCUUGCUUGCUCUAUGCUCCACCAUUGAUGUCUGCGACGCGAGGAGAGGCAAGCAUUGGAGGCCAAGGAGCUCGCCGAGCUCCUCUCUGCUCAAGAAGAAAGGGAAGGCAAAGAAGGGCAGCUCCCACCGGCAGCACGGGGGCAACCGGCGAAGCCCGCCACCAGGCCCCCCUGGUGUUGGCAAAGGACACCAAACGCCAUACCAGCCAAGCCCCAAUGUACCUGUAAGUCCGAGCCCGAGCCCGAAGCCAAGCCCUGCCAAAGGCAAUGGACAUUCAAGUCCACAGCCUCCAUCUCCGAGCUGUGGAAAGGGCAGACAGCCGCCGCCGCAGCCACCACCUGCGGCCUCGGCCUCACCGGGCGCGGUGUUUAACGUGGUUGAUUUCGGAGCCAAGGGUGAUGGAGUUUCAGACGAUACAAAGGCUUUUCAAGCCGCGUGGGCUGCUGCGUGCAAGCUGGGAGCAUCUACAGUUCUUGUACCAGCAGAACUAGAGUUCCUUGUUGGGCCAAUCUCGUUUUCUGGGCCUUACUGCAAACCAAACAUUCNNNNNNNNUUGGAAGGAACGAUCUUAGCCCCAACAAAUGCUAAAGCAUGGGGUUCUGGCUUGCUUCAAUGGCUUGAAUUCACCAAACUAAGUGGAUUAUCAAUUCAAGGCAGUGGCACCAUAAAUGGUAGGGGGCAACAGUGGUGGACCUACUCAGACCCAAAUGACGAUGAGGAUGACGACAAGUACAAUGAGGAGCUUGAGAGGAUGCCACGGGUUAAACCUACGGCAUUGAGGUUCUAUGGUUCUUCAAAUGUCGUAGUGGCUGGUAUCAAAAUUGUCAACAGCUCACAGUGCCAUCUCAAGUUCGACAACUGUCAAGGGGUGCUGGUCCACGACCUGACAAUAUCCUCCCCUGAGAACAGUCUCAACACUGACGGAAUACACCUGCAGAACUCCAAAGAUGUCAGCAUUCAUCAUACCAACUUGGCUUGCGGUGAUGAUUGCAUCUCCAUCCAGACAGGAUGUAGCAACAUAUACAUACACAAUGUGAAUUGUGGACCAGGCCAUGGAAUCAGCAUUGGUGGACUAGGCCGGGACAACACAAAAGCAUGCGUCUCUAAUGUAACAGUAAGAGAUGUCAACAUGUUCAGAACAAUGACUGGUGUCAGAAUCAAGACCUGGCAGGGUGGUAUAGGACUGGUUCAAGACAUAAGGUUCUCAAACAUACAAGUCUCCGAAGUUCAAACACCUAUUAUGAUAGACCAGUUCUAUUGCGACAAAAGAACGUGCACAAAUCAAACAUCAGCAGUGGCGGUAUCAGGCGUUCAGUAUGAGAACAUCAGAGGGACAUUUACAAUCAAGCCUCUCCAUUUUGCAUGCAGUGACAGCUCACCUUGUUCAGGGAUCACACUUACCGGGGUACAACUUAAACCCGUGCAAAUAGCCCACUACCACCUAAACAAUCCAUUCUGUUGGCAAGCUUUUGGGGAACUCUUCACUCCAACCAUCCCUCCCAUAGCUUGUCUGCAGAUCGGAAAACCUGCUGGGAACAACUUGCAGUCAUACCAUGACAUAUGCUGA